UACGGAGGGCGCGAGCGUUAAUCGGAAUUACUGGGCGUAAAGCGCGCGUAGGCUGUUGUGUAAGUUGGGGGUGAAAUCCCACGGCUCAACCGUGGAACAGCCCCUGAUACUGCGCGACUUGAAUCCGGGAGAGGGUGGCGGAAUUCCAGGUGUAGGAGUGAAAUCCGUAGAUAUCUGGAGGAACAUCAGUGGCGAAGGCGGCCACCUGGACCGGUAUUGACGCUGAGGCGCGAAAGCGUGGGGAGCAAACAGG
rnacentral:rRNA from 1 species